AUUUAACAAAAUUCUGGAGUCUUUCAAGUUGUUAGGCAAAUAAUAUGAUGUAUAUGACUAAUGAGAAAACUGAUAUUACAUAAACUGUAAUAGCAUAAGGACAAAAUAUUUGAGUUUGUUUCAUCAAAACUAUUUUAACAAAUCUAUUCCUGAUUAUAUUAUUGUUCUGCAAUGAUAUGAUCAGGAAUAAGAAUUUAUUUAUCAAACCUAUUCCUUGUGUCAGGAAUAGACUUGAUAAAUAAAUUUUCAAAACAUGAUUCUGUAUCUGAUUGGAAUGUGAAGAACCAAGAAAGUAGCCUUGAAAGAUGAAUAUGAUGUAUCAGUACUAUUGAUUAUUAGUAAAAAAUAAGCAACAAUUCUCAGGAAAGUAUUAGAUUUAUCAGUGCAAAUCAGUUAUUCAUAAUUUUUGAAAAAAGAAGACUUCAUCAUUUAAAUAGCAAAGAUGUUGAGAGAUAAAGUCUGAUCCUUAAAGAUUUGUAUUUUGCUCUGCAGUUAUGAAAAUAACAAAUUGGCAAUUCUUGAGAAGAUUGCUUUAAUGAUAAAUAUCCAUUUACUCAAAUUCAAAUACUUCAAUUAUCAAUUAUCCCAACUCUUAGAUAAGGAUGUGACAAAAUCCAAAGUUAUCUUAUGUUGGCCAAGCACAAUAGCUCAGAAUUUAAAUGUAUGGGCAGGAUUAUUUCAACACCAGAUAGUAGGAUCAUUCUUCAUAGAUGGAAAUCUGACCAGAGGCAAAUUCUUCACUCUAUGAAAAAUGUUGGGGUAGUACUAACUGAAUUAGCUCCAGAUAAUGAAUUCUGGUUUCAGAUUGGUGGUGAUCCUGCUUGUAAUUGUAGGAAUUUACAAGAACUUUUGUUUGCUACUUUCAGUAGAAUAAUUUAUAGGUUCAAAAAGUUUUUUAUUCAAUGAUCUUUGUAUUCACUUGAUUUUUUUCCUUAAAUGAAUUUGUUUUCUAUGGAGCUAUAUAAAAUUGAAAAUUUAUAUUAGAUCUUUAUAAUCCCUAAGAAGCAGAAUUGUUCAUGAAUGCAAAGCUGUUGUAUUCUCAGCUGUUGAAUAACUUGCACCAACUUGUUCAAUAGCUGUCAUGAAAAACUUCUACAAUAGAUUAUUAUAUUGUUGAUAGGUAUUUAUUUGAACAUUUUUUUUAGUGAAAAUAUUGAAUAUUUAUGUUUUGACAUACAUUAUUACAACAAUUGUUUUUUAG
rnacentral:lncRNA from 1 species